rnacentral:tRNA from 1 species
GCGCCAGUAGCUCAACUGGAUAGAGUACUUGUCUACGGAACAAGGGGUUACGGGUUCAAUUCCUGUCUAGCGCGCCA